GGGUCCAUAGCUCAGUUGUAGAGCAAUUGACUGCAGAUCAAUAGAUCACCGAUUCAAAUCCGGUUGGGCCCU
rnacentral:tRNA from 1 species